rnacentral:lncRNA from 12 species
GAGAGCCUGUUUUCCCUCUGUCACAAUAGAUGGCACUCUCCAAACAGCAGCCCAUCAACCUGUGUCCACCAGCAGUCCACCCCUGGUCAACCCCAAACGGGCGCAUCACGUGCAGGUCUAUGACAGCGCUUCUCAAACCAUCUGUGGUGAAGAACGUGUGUGUGUGAUUUCUUGUCCAUCGUA